rnacentral:rRNA from 1 species
UACGUAGGGCGCAAGCGUUGUCCGGAAUUAUUGGGCGUAAAGAGCUCGUAGGUGGCUUGUCACGUCGGGUGUGAAAGCUUGGGGCUUAACUCCAGGUCUGCAUUCGAUACGGGCUGGCUAGAGGUAGGUAGGGGAGAACGGAAUUCCUGGUGUAGCGAUGAAAUGCGCAGAUAUCAGGAGGAACACCGGUGGCGAAGGCGGUUCUCUGGGCCUUACCUGACGCUGAGGAGCGAAAGCGUGGGGAGCGAACAGG